rnacentral:piRNA from 1 species
UUCCAGAAGCCGAUACC